GCCAGUGUGGUGUAGUGGCUAGCGCACUGGACUAUGACCCUGAAGAACAGGGUUUGAAUCCCUGCUGAGCCA